rnacentral:rRNA from 1 species
UAAAAGUAAGUCUCAGUUCGGAUUGAAGGCUGAAAUUCGCCUACAUGAAGCUGGAAUUGCUGUAAUGGCAGGUCAGCAUACUGCCGUGAAUACGUUCCCGGGCCCUUGUACACACCGCCCGUCACACCAUGAGAGUUGGGGAUACCCGAAGCCUGUGAGCCAACUGUAAAGAGGCAGCAGUCGAAGGUAGAAUCAAUGAUUGGGGUGAAGUCGUAACAAGGUAAC